AUUGAACGCUGGCGGCAGGCCUAACACAUGCAAGUCGAGCGGAUGAAGGGAGCUUGCUCCUGGAUUCAGCGGCGGACGGGUGAGUAAUGCCUAGGAAUCUGCCUGGUAGUGGGGGAUAACGUCCGGAAACGGGCGCUAAUACCGCAUACGUCCUGAGGGAGAAAGUGGGGGAUCUUCGGACCUCACGCUAUCAGAUGAGCCUAGGUCGGAUUAGCUAGUUGGUGGGGUAAAGGCCUACCAAGGCGACGAUCCGUAACUGGUCUGAGAGGAUGAUCAGUCACACUGGAACUGAGACACGGUCCAGACUCCUACGGGAGGCAGCAGUGGGGAAUAUUGGACAAUGGGCGAAAGCCUGAUCCAGCCAUGCCGCGUGUGUGAAGAAGGUCUUCGGAUUGUAAAGCACUUUAAGUUGGGGGGAAGGGCAGUAAGUUAAUACCUUGCUGUUUUGACGUUACCAACAGAAUAGGCACCGGCUAACUUCGUG
rnacentral:rRNA from 1 species